ACCACCUACCAUCAACACUAAACUUGCACCAAGCCUAUAAGACACAGGCCUUUGGAGAACAUUCUCUAUUAAAACAAUAACAACAGAUGUGCUCAAAAGGAACCGAGUCUCCUAGAAAGCACAGCUUCAGCCAGAGGAGAAGAAUGAAGUUGAAUACUGGUUGAGAGACAGAUUUGGAACCAAUUGCAGAUACACAGACUGUCAGCUCCUGGAGAAAGCUGAAAGCAAAGACUUUGGAUGUGGAGCAGAGGCUCAGGCAACUUCACAGACAAGAACACAGAAAGAUUUUUAAGAAUCGGCGAGUGGGAGAAGACCAAUGAAAUGCUGCCUUCUUGACAUGACAUGGCUGCUGCAUGUGGUUAUUAGCACAAUAUCAAACCUGUCAGGAACCUCCAGCCAUCAACCAGGUACAGCUGCCUCACAGAAAGUAUGUGACUCAGGACCACUCUGCUACCUACCAAAUUCUAGAAACAGACCUGCGGCUUACCUAGGGCGUAGGCUUAAACAAUAGAAGGUGGAAUGUGAAAGAUAAAGUUAGAGUCUUCAAUUAGGUUACCAGAGGACACAGGAUGCCCUACCCAUCCCACUGACAUUCACUCUGCCAGGUUCAUUGCAGCUACAGCACAUCCCCCAUUCCUUCCCCUCCUCCUUUCCCCUAUAUAAAUCCCUUUGGAAUGAAUAAAAGUUUCAC